UGUUCUGCUUGGUUGGGAAAGUUCAGGGCCACUGAGCAACAUACCUACUUCCGGUUUUUUGAGAGCAGGAUAUAAGAGUUUUAGCUUUUCAGAGGGACUUUUUGUUUUGUCUUGUCUAAUCAGUUAGCAUUUCUAAAUCAGUGUUAAGUUAGCAUUGGGGCUGCAGGUAAAAUGCCAGGGAGAGGAAAGGUUCCUCUCCUGACCGCUAGGUUAGCUGCUCUAACGUGGGUGCAAGCGGUUGCGUCAGAAACUCCCAUCGUUUCACGGUUGAGCGACACUCUGGGUGUGGGCAUACCACAUUUGUUAACUUUUCCUCCACCGGUGCACAAUGAGACAGUUUUUGUCUUUGACUUCUAUGAGUGAGUCUGCUAAGAAUAUGGCCUUGAACCUCUGUUCCAGUUCUUGCUUUCGCUCCUCUGGGGUACAUGCAUGGAGCUGGACUUGCCAAAUCAUAUGCUAAAGCUACAUUUAGGGGUUUUAGUAUUUGUGCGUCCUUGCUAACACUGCUUGUGGUUUGUUUAUCUGGUGGUAGUGGUGUUUUUAGUUAGUAUAUCAUUUGGUUUUUAGUUAUUUUUGUUAGUUGCUUUUCUUUCUUAUUGCUGAGACAAAAUAAAGAAAUAAUUUGGGAAGAGAAUUUGAUUCAAAUGACAUUUUCCUGACAGGGAAGGCGGGGAUUACCCUACCACCUGUCUGUGGGAGCUCUCAAGUAGGCCUUUUGCUUAGGAGGCCUCCAUGUGGAAUGGCCACUUCUGAAACUGCAAAGUGGUAUGUGGCUUGUGGACCCACGGAAGGGAAGCACAGAGAAGGUAGGUAUGUUCAGCAUCGUAUGCUUUAGAAGAAAGUGCAGCCCAGUCUCUCUUGUGACUGGGGACAAGGGAGACAUCCAACAGGCAGGGGAAAAGUCUGUAAUGGUUAGCCCAAUUCUGUACAGUAGCUAGAUGCAAGAGACUUGUCAGGAAAAAAAAAAGUUACCUUGAGAGUUGCUCACCUUGUUUGUCAUAAAGUGUCCCAGCCCCUUGUCUGCUCUGGAUGCUGAUGCACACAUCAGCAAGAGUUGGUGAUAAAGCCUUUGUAAAUCUUGGCUUUGCUUGUUUCAUGCAUCCUUACGAUUGACUCUGGCCCGAGUGUCUGGGCGAUGUGAACCUGCUUUCAAGCUGCUCGGAGUUGGCAGAUUUCUCUCUAGUACAUCAAACCAUCGGGGACCAGCUAGAGUCUGCCUCCAGGAUCACCAUAGGAAUUAUCUGAGAUGUGUGGAAAUGUCAGGUGCCUUCCACCAGAGGGUCCAUGUCACGUUUUUCUUCUUUAUUCAGCAUCUCACAUCAUAUGCAACAAGGAGCACCGUUAACAGCAUGAGAUACCUGGCAGCAUCACCCAGCACAAUGAGGCAAAUAACCAACAUCAAGGAAACAAGCGAUUAUAGAUGUUAACGAGGGUGUGAGGGAAGAGGACCAGUAGAUGUCGUGAAGGAGGUUCCUAAAAUGCUGACACAGAUCUACCCUGUGAUCUGGCUGUAUAAUCCUAAAUAGUCAUCAAAGGAUUCCCGUCAACACACCACAAAGGUACUUAUAUAUCCUUGUUCACAGUGGAUACAUCUUAAAGAUCAAUCAAUAGAUGAGUGGAUAAAGAAAGUAUAACAUGGAUACACAAUGAAAUUAUAUUCAGCUGUAAGAAGAAUAAGUUAAGGCAUUCAUGGGAACAUGAGCUACACUGGAGAUCGUAAUUCUAAAUGAAAGAAACCAGACUCAGAAAGCUAAAGAUCACAUGCUUCCUCUCAUAAUGUGGAGUGUGUGUGUGUGUGUGUGUGUGUGUGUGUGUGUGUGUGUAGAAUAAGAA